rnacentral:lncRNA from 1 species
GAGUUAGAUAUUGUCUCCUCUGACCUGAAAGCCACCUGGGCAGCAUUAUGACUUCUGACCUCCUCUUUUGGAGUAAAGAGAUCAUGGAAGUUCUCUACACUCUCCAGGGACUAGUGGGACCCAAGGAAGGUAAGGGUCACUACUCCAAUGGCCCUUAGUUAUCCCGCAGGCCUCGGCUCUACCUACAGAAGUCUCCUACCUACAAAAAUCUUUGGGAGAGAAGCAGAUAUCAGUGUCUAUGCUAAUAUACCUUCCAAACUUCCAGGAACUAAAGGCUCUGCCUUUAGUGGCACACCAGUGGGUCUACAGAUUCAGCUAGCUCAGUAAGCACCUUGCUGGGGUACCAGGUAACCGUAUCCCUUUCCUGCAGGCACCACCAUUCUCUGUGAAUGGAUCUCUGGAAGGCUCCUUAUUUGACUUUAGAUAAUAAACUGUGGACAAAACACAAAAACCAACUACUGAAGUCUCUAAAGAAUGAACAAAAACACAUUCUUCCCCCUCCACAAGAAAACAUUUACAAUGUCUGGGAUGUAAUCCAAAAUUACUUGACAUAUGAAGAAUCUGGAAAAUGCAAUCCACCCCCAAUGGAAAAGACAAUCAACAGAAGCCAACCUUGAUACGACCCAGAUAUCAGAAAUAACAAGACUUUAAAGCAGCUAUAAUUACUGCUGAGGUAAGAGAAGACAUGCUCAUUAUGGAUGAAAAGAAUGGGAAAUCUCAGCAGAGAAACUAGAAAUAUAACAACAACAAAAACAAAUAGGAGCUUUAAAACUUGAAAAAUUCAAUAUCUGAAAUAAAAAGCUUACUGGAUAGGCUUAAUAGCAGAAUGAAGAUGACAAAAAAUUGAUUGGAAAAAGGUCAGUGAAAAUUACCCAAUCUGAAGAGGAGAGAGAAAAAAAUUUAAAAAGAAAGUGUUUCAGGACCCUCUGAAGUCCCAGAAGGUGGGGAAUGAGAGAAAGUGGUGGGAAAAAACAUCAGCAUAAAUUAUAGCUAAAAACAGUCCUAAAUUUGGCAAGAGAUAAAUUUAUAAAUUCAAGAAGCUCAUGAACUGUAAAGAAGAUUAAAAACAACAUCAAUCACAAAAAUAAAUGCCUAGGUUGAUAGAAACCAAAAAUAAAAAAGUUGUGAAAGGAGACAGAGAGAAAAAAACAUAUACAGGGCAACAAUUGGAAUCAUCGGACUUCUCUUUAGAAAAUAUGAAGUCCAGAAGACACCUGGAACAAUAUUUUAAACUUUCUGAGAUAGGAGAAGCACACUUCACUUUAAAUAUAAAGGCACAGACAGGUUAAAGUAAAUGGAUGUAAAAAGAGCAUGCAAACAGUGAAUGAUUAUCGUACUAAUAUUGGAGGGGGAAGCAUAUCACCUGCCUAGCUGCCACAGUAUGAUUUCAAAAAAAACAAGAACAUUCACCAAGAACAAACAAAAAAACCUCUUCAAAUAGACCAUGGAACUGAAUUCAAACUUGUAUCUGAUAACAGCGAUGACAAUAUCUCUCUAUAACAAUCCUGACCAGCAUAUAUCACAAUUACUACAGAGGCUACUGACAAGAAAUCCAACCUUGGUAUGCUGUACACGACUGUCCUCCCACCCUCCCAGUGAAAUCAAACAAAAUUAAUAAUAGUCUACUACAUCAGAGGGA